rnacentral:rRNA from 1 species
UACAGAGGGGGCAAGCGUUAUUCGGAAUUAUUGGGCGUAAAGGGCGCGUAGGCGGCUUUGCAAGUGGCGGGUGAAAUCCCUCGGCUUAACCGAGGAACUGCCUGCCAGACUGUGAGGCUUGAGACCGGGAGAGGUGAGUGGAAUUCCCAGUGUAGCGGUGAAAUGCGUAGAUAUUGGGAGGAACACCAGUGGCGAAGGCGGCUCACUGGACCGGACUGACGCUGAGGCGCGAAAGCGUGGGGAGCAAACAGGG